AGGAGUGCCGAGUACAGCCGAGUUUAGCCGAACAGCCGAACACAGCCGAGACCUGGCGAAAAGGGACGAGUUUAGCCGAAGAGCCGAACCCACCCGAGUUUAGCCGACUUCUGCUGCAUCGAGCCGAGCGCAGCCGCGCUCAGCCGAACCCAGCGAGCUGCGCCGAACCGAGCUGAGAGCUGCCAGAGGAGCUGCCAUGACUCCAGUGUCAUUGGUGAGGCAGUUUCUGCUCUGAGGAGUUUUUGAACGCUGCUCAACAGCAACAGACCUCAUCCUGCAUGUUUGAAGACUGUAGCUGCUGAAAGGCUGAGGUGAGACCAGGAUCUGCAGUCCCUGACUCUCCGUGUCUUGCUGAGGCUGAAGCCACGUUUGCUGUCAAUGACGACUUAGUGGAAGAUGCUAAAGACUGAAAACUUGUGGUUUUUUCCCUGAAUGUCAAGACUCUCUCUGCAGCUGUGCUCUCUUAAAAGAGU